rnacentral:rRNA from 1 species
AACGAACGCUGGCGGCAGGCUUAACACAUGCAAGUCGAGCGCCUCGCAAGGGGAGCGGCAGACGGGUGAGUAACACGUGGGGAUCUGCCCGAUGGUACGGAAUAACUCAGGGAAACUUGUGCUAAUACCGUAUGUGCCCGCAAGGGGAAAGAUUUAUCGCCAUCGGAUGAACCCGCGUCAGAUUAGCUAGUUGGUGUGGUAAAGGCGCACCAAGGCGACGAUCUGUAGCUGGUCUGAGAGGAUGAUCAGCCACACUGGGACUGAGACACGGCCCAGACUCCUACGGGAGGCAGCAGUGGGGAAUAUUGGACAAUGGGCGCAAGCCUGAUCCAGCCAUGCCGCGUGAGUGAUGAAGGCCUUAGGGUUGUAAAGCUCUUUCGCCGACGAAGAUAAUGACGGUAGUCGGAGAAGAAGCCCCGGCUAACUUCGUGCCAGCAGCCGCCGUAAAAC